rnacentral:rRNA from 1 species
CCUACGGGAGGCAGCAGUGAGGAAUAUUGGUCAAUGGUCGGGAGACUGAACCAGCCAAGCCGCGUGAGGGAUGAAGGUACAGAGUAUCGUAAACCUCUUUUGUCAGGGAACAAAGGCGGGGACGUGUCCCCGGAUGAGUGUACCUGAAGAAAAAGCAUCGGCUAACUCCGUGCCAGCAGCCGCGGUAAUACGGAGGAUGCGAGCGUUAUCCGGAUUUAUUGGGUUUAAAGGGUGCGUAGGCGGUCCGGAAAGUCAGCGGUAAAAGCCCGGGGCUCAACCCCGGCGAGCCGUUGAAACUGUCGGAC